GCUUGUCUCAAAGAUUAAGCCAUGCAUGUCUAAGUGUAAAUAAGUCUAUACUGUGAAACUGCGAAUGGCUCAUUAAAUCAGUUAUCGUUUAUUUGAUGAUCUCUUACUACUUGGAUAACCGUAGUAAUUCUAGAGCUAAUACAUGCAUCAAACCCCGACUUCUGGAAGGGGUGUAUUUAUUAGAUGGAAACCAAUGCAGGGCAACCUGGAAUAUGGUGAUUCAUAAUAACUCGCGGAUCGGUUUACCGAUGCAUCAUUCAAGUUUCUGCCCUAUCAGCUUUGGAUGGUAGGAUAUGGGCCUACCAUGGCAUUAACGGGUAACGGGGAAUUAGGGUUUGAUUCCGGAGAGGGAGCCUUAGAAACGGCUACCACAUCCAAGGAAGGCAGCAGG
rnacentral:rRNA from 1 species